rnacentral:rRNA from 1 species
ACCGUGAAACUGCGAUGGCUCAUAAAUCAGUAUCGUUUAUUUGAUAGUACCUACUACUUGGAUACUGUGGUAAUCUAGAGCUAAUACAUGCUAAAACCCGACUUCGGAAGGGGUGUAUUUAUUAGAUAAAAAACCAAUGCCUUCGGGGCUCUUGGUGAUUCAUAAUAACUUCUCAGAUCGCAUGGCCUUGCGCCGGCGACGGUUCAUUCAAAUUUCUGCCCUAUCAACUUUCGAUGGUAAGGUAUUGGCUUACCAUGGUGGCAACGGGUAACGGGGAAUUAGGGUUCGAUUCCGGAGAGUUAGCCUGAGAAACGGCUAACACAUCCAAGGAAGGCAGCAGGCGCGCAAAUUACCCAAUCCCGAUACGGGGAGGUAGUGACAAUAAAUACUGAUACAGGGCUCUUUUGGGUCUUGUAAUUGGAAUGAGUACAAUUUAAACCUCUUAACGAGGAACAAUUGGAGGGCAAGUCUGGUGCCAGCAGCCGCGGUAAUUCCAGCUCCAAUAGCGUAUAUUAAAGUUGUUGCAGUUAAAAAGCUCGUAGUUGAACCUUUGGCCUGGCUGGCAGGUCCGCCUCACCGCGUGCACUUGUCCGGCCGGGCCUUUUCUUCUGGAGAACCGCAUGCCCUUCACUGGGUGUGUUGGGGACCAGGACUUUUACUUUGAAAAAAUUAGAGUGUUCAAAGCAGGCCUUUGCUCGAAUAUUACAGCAUGGAAUAAUAGAAUAGGACGUGCGGUUCUAUUUUGUUGGUUUCUAGGACCGCCGUAAUGAUUAAUAGGGACAGUCGGGGGCAUCAGUAUUCAAUUGUCAGAGGUGAAAUUCUUGGAUUUAUUGAAGACUAACUACUGCGAAAGCAUUUGCCAAGGAUGUUUUCAUUAAUCAGUGAACGAAAGUUAGGGGAUCGAAGACGAUCAGAUACCGUCGUAGUCUUAACCAUAAACUAUGCCGACUAGGGAUCGGGCGGUGUUACUAUUUUGACUCGCUCGGCACCUUACGAGAAAUCAAAGUGUUUGGGUCUGGGGGAGUAGC